UGCCUGGUCUGCUCACCACUAGGUGGCAUAAUUCUGAAUAUUGUAUUUUGCAGAUUCCCAGUUUCACUGAGAUUAAGCUCCAGUCUCCUGCGAUGGUAGCUAACUUCAAAGUGUAUCCUUUAUUGGUUAUCUUCCUUUUCCUAUCUCAUUUCCCCCUCUCCCUAUUGGUAUUUCCUGUGUUUCCUAAAUAAACUAUUUGCACUGCAAUCCUUGUCUUAGGGUCUGCUUCUGAGAUAACAUAAACCAGGCAGUCACUGAAUGCAUGAACAAUAAGCCUGUAAGUUAUGGAGUUCUUGUAAGAAGACUGAACCAGUAGUUUCAGGAGAGGAUAACACAGAGGAAUCUCUGAACAGCAGGACACCAGGC
rnacentral:lncRNA from 10 species